GACGAACGCUGGCGGCGUGCUUAACACAUGCAAGUCGAACGGUGAAAGAAGUGCUUGCACUCCUGGAUCAGUGGCGAACGGGUGAGUAACACGUGAGUAACCUGCCCCUCACUCUGGGAUAAGCGCUGGAAACGGUGUCUAAUACUGGAUACGAGCAACACUUGCAUGGGUUGUGUGUGGAAAGUUUUUCGGUUUUGGAUGGACUCGCGGCCUAUCAGCUUGUUGGUGGGGUAACGGCCCACCAAGGCGACGACGGGUAGCCGGCCUGAGAGGGUGACCGGCCACACUGGGACUGAGACACGGCCCAGACUCCUACGGGAGGCAGCAGUGGGGAAUAUUGCACAAUGGGCGAAAGCCUGAUGCAGCGACGCCGCGUGAGGGAUGACGGCCUUCGGGUUGUAAACCUCUUUCAGCAGGGAAGAAGCGAAAGUGACGGUACCUGCAGAAGAAGCACCGGCUAACUACGUG
rnacentral:rRNA from 1 species